ACCUGGUUGAUCCUGCCAGUAGUCAUAUGCUUGUCUCAAAGAUUAAGCCAUGCAUGUCUAAGUAUAAGCGAGUAUACUGUGAAACUGCGAAUGGCUCAUUAAAUCAGUUAUAGUUUAUUUGAUAGUACUUACUACUUGGAUAACCGUGGUAAUUCUAGAGCUAAUACAUGCUGUCAAACCCGACUUUUUGGAAGGGUUGUAUUUAUUAGAUAUUAAGCCAAUAUUCCUUGUGUCUAUUGUGGUGAAUCAUAGUAACUGAUCGAAUCCCUUUUUGUGGAUAAAUCAUUCAAGUUUCUGCCCUAUCAGCUUUCGAUGGUAGGAUAGAGGCCUACCAUGGCGUUAACGGGUAACGGAGAAUUAGGGUUCGAUUCCGGAGAGGGAGCCUGAGAAACGGCUACCACAUCCAAGGAAGGCAGCAGGCGCGUAAAUUACCCAAUCCUGACAUAGGGAGGUAGUGACAAUAAAUAACAAUGCUAGGCUUUUAAAGUCCGGCAAUUGGAAUGAG
rnacentral:rRNA from 11 species